GGGUUUAAGGGUCCGUAGGCGGCCUUAUAAGUCAGUGGUGAAAUCUCUCGGCUCAACCGGGAAAUGGCCAUUGAUACUGUAGGGCUUGAAUUAUUAGGAAGUAACUAGAAUAUGUAGUGUAGCGGUGAAAUGCUUAGAGAUUACAUGGAAUACCAAUUGCGAAGGCAGGUUACUACUAAUGGAUUGACGCUGAUGGACGAAAGCGUGGGUAGCGAACAGGAUUAGAUACCCUGGUAGUCCACGCCGUAAACGAUGGAUACUAGCUGUUGGGAGCAAUCUCAGUGGCUAAGCGAAAGUGAUAAGUAUCCCACCUGGGGAGUACGUUCGCAAGAAUGAAACUCAAAGGAAUUGACGGGGGCCCGCACAAGCGGUGGAGCAUGUGGUUUAAUUCGAUGAUACGCGAGGAACCUUACCAAGGCUUAAAUGUAGAUUGACCGGUUUGGAAACAGAUCUUUCGCAAGACAAUUUACAAGGUGCUGCAUGGUUGUCGUCAGCUCGUGCCGUGAGGUGUCAGGUUAAGUCCUAUAACGAGCGCAACCCCUGUUGUUAGUUGCCAGCGAGUCAUGUCGGGAACUCUAACAAGACUGCCAGUGCAAACUGUGAGGAAGGUGGGGAUGACGUCAAAUCAUCACGGCCCUUACGCCUUGGGCUACACACGUGCUACAAUGGCCGGUACAGAGAGCAGCCACUUCGUGAGGAGGAGCGAAUCUAUAAAACCGGUCACAGUUCGGAUCGGA
rnacentral:rRNA from 1 species